rnacentral:misc_RNA from 1 species
ACACUAUCGAGCUAGUCACCUAUCAACCAUGGUCGUUCUUUGGUUUUUGCCCAUUGUAUUACCUCUCAUUUUAGGACUAGCCUUCGCCUUCGCCUUCGGUCUUCAUCGUCUUCUCAUAAGAAACAAGCCUGCAAAUUUACCUAAUGGAACUAUGGGAUGGCCUCUCUGUGGAGAGACACUUGCCUUUCUGAAGCCUCAUAGAUCAAACUCCAUGGGCACCUUCUUGCAAGAACGUUGCUCCAGGUAUGGGAAAGUUUUCAAAUCACAUCUCCUUGGUUCCCCUGCUAUAGUUUCUUGUGACCAUGAAUUCAACAUGUUUAUCCUUCAAAAUGAAGGGAAAUUAUUCGAAGCCAGCUACCCUACAGCCAUGCAUGGCAUUCUUGGCAAGUUCUCAUUACUUUUCGUCUCCGGUGACCUUCAUAAAAAGCUAAGAAGCAUCGCCGUAAGCUUCACCACCGUGUCUAAGUCAUCCCCUAGCUUCCUUCACUGUGUGGAGAAGUUCGCUAUGUCAAUGAUGGAAUCAUGGAAAGAGUGUAAAGAAGUUGCCUUUCAUAAAGAAGUUAGAAAGUUUACACUCAAUCUCAUGGUGAAGACCCUUUUGAAUAUUGAACCAGAAGAGCCAGUAGCCUCCAAGAUAUUGAAAGAUUUUCGAACUUACAUGAAAGGAUUUGUCUCUUUGCCAUUAAACUUCCCUGGAUCUCCUUAUACCAAAGCAGUCAAGGCAAGAGCAAGACUUUCUUCCACCGUGAGAGAGAUAAUUAAAGAAAGGGUAAAUAAAGGAGACUUCUUGCAUGUUAUUUUAUCAAAACAGAGGCUAAGCGAUGAUGAGACCGUAAGCAUUGUAUUAGACAUCUUGCUUGGAGGCUAUGAGACAACCUCGACCAUCAUUUCUUUAGUUGUUUACUUCAUUGGGCAUGCACCGGCUGCUUUUGAAAGCUUGAAGAAAGAAUAUGAAGCUAUAAGAAGAAGCAAAGAGGAUGGCAAACCCUUGGACUGGGAAGAUUACCAGAAAAUGGAGUUCACCAACAAUGUAAUAUCAGAAACCAUGAGAUGUGGGAACGUUGUCAAGUUUGUCCACCGCAAAGCUCUUGAAGAUGUGAAAUACAAAGGAUAUAUCGUUCCUUUAGGAUGGAAAGUUUUACCAGUAUUUACAGGGGCACAUUUUGAUGCUUCCCUUCAUGAAAACCCUUUCGAAUUUAAUCCUUGGAGAUGGAGUACUGAUAAAGCGACAAGCAAAAAGGUUAUGCCGUUUGGUGGUGGACCUCGGCUAUGUCCAGGGGCCGAGCUAGCUAAAGUGGAGACUGCAUUCUUCCUUCAUCAUCUUGUCCUUAAUUAUAGGUGGGAAAUAAAGGCAGAUGACUUCCCCAUUGCAUACCCUUAUGUGGAAUUCCAGCGAGGCUUGCUACUGGAAAUCGAACCAGCUGAAACAGACGACAUAUCAUAUCCGGGAAAAGAGAGGCCUGGAUUCUAGCUGCUCAAUUACAGUUAACGGUUGAUCAAUGUAUAUUGAAAUAAAUUAUUAUGAGGUCAAAUUAUUCUUCAGGGUAGAAUUUAAUUCGUGUAAUUAAUCUCCUUUAGAAAGAAGGAAAUGGAUUUGACCCUAGUUAAUUCCAGAAAUUUG